rnacentral:rRNA from 1 species
AGUGAACGCUGGCGGCGUGCCUAAUACAUGCAAGUCGAACGAAGUGGCGCACGGGUGAGUAAUAUAUAGUUAAUCUGCCCUACACAGAGGAACAACAGUUGGAAACGACUGCUAAUACCUCAUAGUGUAGGAUGAGACUAUAUCGUAACAGCUAGUUGGUAAGGUAAUGGCUUACCAAGGCUAUGACGCGUAACUGGUCUGAGAGGAUGAUCAGUCACAUUGGAACUGGUAGACUGUGCAGACUCCUAUGGGAGGAAGCAGUAAGGAAUGUUGAGCAAUGGGGGUAACUCGGAUGCAGCAACGCCGCGUCGAGGACUACACUUUUCUGAGAGUAUUCGCCUAUUAUCAGUUUAGCGCUGGCUGGUUUUGAAGUACCGACUAAAUGCGUGCCAGCAGCCGCGGUAAUAC